rnacentral:rRNA from 1 species
UACGAAGGGGGCUAGCGUUGCUCGGAAUCACUGGGCGUAAAGCGCACGUAGGCGGAUCUUUAAGUCAGGGGUGAAAUCCCGGAGCUCAACUCCGGAACUGCCUUUGAUACUGGAGAUCUUGAGUCCGGGAGAGGUGAGUGGAGCUGCGAGUGUAGAGGUGAAAUUCGUAGAUAUUCGCAAGAACACCAGUGGCGAAGGCGGCUCACUGGCCCGGUACUGACGCUGAGGUGCGAAAGCGUGGGGAGCAAACAGG